rnacentral:tRNA from 1 species
GUGGCCAUAGCUCAGUUGGUUAGAGCACGGGAUUGUGAUUCCCGGGGUCGCGGGUUCGAGUCCCGUUGGCCACC